GUAGUCCACGCCGUAAACGAUGGAUGCUAGCUGUUGGCCGUAUCGACCCGGUCAGUAGCGAAGCUAACGCGUUAAGCAUCCCGCCUGGGGAGUACGAGCGCAAGCUUAAAACUCAAAGGAAUUGACGGGGACCCGCACAAGCGGUGGAGCGUGUGGUUUAAUUCGAUGCUACGCGAAGAACCUUACCAAGACUUGACAUCCCGAGAAGGUUUAAGAAUUAGACCGUGCCGCAAGGAAUUCGGUGACAGGUGAUGCAUGGCUGUCGUCAGCUCGUGUCGUGAGAUGUUUGGUUAAG
rnacentral:rRNA from 1 species